AUGAUGGAUAGCGAAGAAGUCAUGUUUUCAGUGAGUGCCAAGCAAGGAGGCGCUCAGGCUGGCGAGGGUAACACCAGCCACAGGUCCUUGCACCCGGAAACCGCUCAGAGCGGCGACAAUGUCGUUGGGGCACUGGCGUCCCCCAACCCAAACCCAAUCGCUACCCAUCCUUCUGGAAAACCGGACAAUCGGGUUUCUCGCAGCGUGGAGGGUCGAGUUAUUGGUGACGUCGCUGGCGCUGCCGUGGGUGCGGCUAUCGAAGUGCUAACAGACGGGAUACCCACCUCCGAGGCAGCAGAAUUAAUUGAGAUGACCAGUGCGGCUGUUGAACGGAUGGCUGACUCCCAAACCUUGGGUGAAGUCAUCGACGAGACUGAAGGUGUUGUUAGCGGGCGCAACCCCUCAGGAAAAGUUCCAACAGUGCCCGAUUUCCUCAAACACCUGGAGAGUGAUGCUGCAGGUAAUGAAGCUAGGUUGGCUUCCUUUCGUGAGAACUACCAGUACUCACCCCAUGACCCCAGCGCUCCCCCCUCCUCACCACCAAAGUCGGAGGAGGAUGACGAUAUCCGCAUCCUGCGCUCCGUUAAAAAGAAUGACGCGAGCGUGGUUCUCCGCCCCCCACUUGAGCACACCUCCCCCUGUAGGCGGAAGGGAAAACGUGGACAACUCAAAGUGCUCGUGGCCGACGCACACGGCCAAUCUACGAGCAAGAGCAGUGGGCACUCCAGCUCCCAGAGCUCUACAACCCCUUCCUCCUCCUCGACCACAGUUGCACCGCCGGCUACCCCUCAUCGUGGUGAUCCGGCUCCCAACAACGCACCCCCCCCUCCCCAAUGGCCAUACAGGAGGGCACAAGCCCAAGCCCCAGCCCCUACCUCGCACCAUUCCAAAGGUGCUCGCAAGCCGAAACAUGUCGGCUUAUACCCGCCCUCCGUCACGAAGGGCAUCAAGUUUGGUGACAAUAGUAUCGUCACUGAUCUUGUGUCUGACAAGCCUAUCCACACUCUGCCCCUCUAA
rnacentral:lncRNA from 1 species